rnacentral:rRNA from 1 species
UACGUAGGGUGCAAGCGUUAAUCGGAAUUACUGGGCGUAAAGCGUGCGCAGGCGGUUAUGUAAGAUAGAUGUGAAAUCCCCGGGCUCAACCUGGGAACUGCAUUUGUGACUGCAUAGCUAGAGUACGGUAGAGGGGGAUGGAAUUCCGCGUGUAGCAGUGAAAUGCGUAGAUAUGCGGAGGAACACCGAUGGCGAAGGCAAUCCCCUGGACCUGUACUGACGCUCAUGCACGAAAGCGUGGGGAGCAAACAGG